CAGUCGUACCUACGGGUAAUCAGCCUUUUGGGUGUGCUUAUGUGGUAUGUGAAAAGAUUUCACAGUUGCAUAUUUGUGCCUUUUGGGUGUACUUUCUCGUAUGGUAGGUUAAACAUCAAUUUCGGGCAUCAUAAAAAUGGCGGGAGGAAUGUAGCUUCUCCGGAAGUGUUUUAUAGCCUCUGGGUAGAUGUGAUGACUGAGAUUGAGGAUGGCAACGAAUAACCCUCUGGGGCUACCUGUCCGGGCCUUCUGGGUCGUCGCCUUUGGUGCCCAAAGGCGUGGUUUACGGUAUUAAAAGUAGGUGGGUCAAAAGGUUUAAAACGGGUUUAAA
rnacentral:rRNA from 1 species